CAACUAACAGAGAACUAUAAGAACACAGGACCAGCUGACAGAGAACUAUAAGAACACAAGACCAACAAACAGAGAACUAUAAGAACACAGGACCAACUAACAGAGAACUAUAAGAACACAGGACCAGCUAACAGAGAACUAUAAGAACACAGGACCAGCUAACAGAGCGGUAUAAGAACACAGGACCAACUAACAGAGAACUAUAAGAACACAGGACCAGCUAACAGAGAACUAUAAGAACACAGGACCAGCUAACAGAGAACUAUAAGAACACAGGACCAGCUAACAGAGCGGUAUAAGAACACAGGACCAACUAACAGAGAGCUAUAAGAACACAGGACCAGCUGACAGAGCGGUAUAAGAACACAGGACCAGCUAACAGAGAACUAUAAGAACACAGGACCAGCUAACAGAGCGGUAUAAGAACACAGGACCAAAUAACAGAGAACUAUAAGAACACAGGACCAGCUGACAGAGAACUAUAAGAACACAGGACCAGCUGACAGAGAACUAUAAGAACACAGGACCAGCUGACAGAGCGCUAUAAGAACACAGGACCAGCUAACAGAGCGGUAUAAGAACACAGGACCAGCUAACAGAGAACUACAAGAACACAGGACCAGCUAACAGAGAGCUAUAAGAACACAGGACCAGCUAACAGAGAACUAUAAGAACACAGGACCAGCUAACAGAGAACUAUAAGAACACAGGACCAACUAACAGAGAACUAUAAGAACACAGGACCAGCUAACAGAGAUCUAUAAGAACACAGGACCAGCUAACAGAGCGCUAUAAGAACACAGGACCAGCUAACAGAGAACUAUAAGAACACAGGACCAGCUAACAGAGAACUAUAAGAACACAGGACCAGCUAACAGAGCGGUAUAAGAACACAGGACCAGCUAACAGAGAACUAUAAGAACACAGGACCAGCUAACAGAGAGCUAUAAGAACACAGGACCAGCUAACAGAGAGCUAUAAGAACACAGGACCAGCUAACAGAGCGGUAUAAGAACACAGGACCAGCUAACAGAGAACUAUAAGAACACAGGACCAGCUAACAGAGAGCUAUAAGAACACAGGACCAGCUAACAGAGAACUAUAAGAACACAGG
rnacentral:lncRNA from 1 species